rnacentral:rRNA from 1 species
GNUNGAAANUCAANGGAAUNGACGGGGGCCCGCACANGCGGUGGAGCAUGNGGUUUNNNNNGAAGCAACGCGAAGAACCUUNNCAGGUCNUGACAUCCCGAUGCCCGCUCUAGAGAUAGAGUUUUANUUCGGUACAUCGGUGACAGGUGGUGCANGGUNGUCGUCAGCUCGUGUCGUGAGAUGUUGGGUUAAGUCCCGCAACGAGCGCAACCCUUAUUGUUAGUUGCCAUCAUUCAGUUGGGCACUCUAGCGAGACUGCCGGUAAUAAACCGGAGGAAGGUGGGGAUGACGUCAAAUCAUCAUGCCCCUUAUGACCUGGGCUACACACGUGCUACAAUGGCUGGUACAACGAGUCGCAAGUCGGUGACGGCAAGCUAAUCUCUUAAAGCCAGUCUCAGUUCGGAUUGUAGGCUGCAACUCGCCUACAUGAAGUCGGAAUCGCUAGUAAUCGCGGAUCAGCACGCCGCGGUGAAUACGUUCCCGGGCCUUGUACACACCGCCCGUCACACCACGAGAGUUUGUAACACCCGAAGUCGGUGAGGUAACCUUUUA